rnacentral:rRNA from 1 species
GACGAACGCUGGCGGCGUGCUUAACACAUGCAAGUCGAACGGAAAGGCCCCUUCGGGGGUACUCGAGUGGCGAACAGGUGAGUAACACGUGAGUAACCUGCCCUUGACUUCGGGAUAACUUCAGGAAACUGGGGCUAAUACCGGAUAGGAAUCCUUGCUGCAUGGUGGGGGUUGGAAAGCUUCGGCGGUUUUGGAUGGACUCGCGGCUUAUCAGCUUGUUGGUGGGGUAGUGGCUUACCAAGGCUUUGACGGGUAGCCGGCCUGAGAGGGCGACCGGCCACAUUGGGACUGAGAUACGGCCCAGACUCCUACGGGAGGCAGCAGUGGGGAAUAUUGAACAAUGGGCGGAAGCCUGAUGCAGCAACGCCGCGUGCGGGAUGACGGCCUUCGGGUUGUAAACCGCUUUCAGCAGGGGCGAAGCUUGUGGUGACGGUACCUGCAGAAGAAGCACCGGCUAACUACGUG